rnacentral:rRNA from 1 species
CCCGCUGAACUUAAGCAUAUCAAUAAGCGGAGGUAAAGAAACUAACAAGGAUUCCCCUAGUAACUGCGAGUGAAGCGGGAAAAGCUCAAAUUUAAAAUCUGGUGGCCUUUGGCCAUCCGAGUUGUAAUUUAGAGAAGCGUCUUCCGCGCUGGACCGUGCACAAGUCUCCUGGAAUGGAGCGUCGUAGAGGGUGAGAAUCCCGUCUUUGGCACGGACGCCCAGUGCUUCUGUGAUGCGCUCUCGAAGAGUCGAGUUGUUUGGGAAUGCAGCUCANAAUGGGUGGUGAACUCCAUCUAAAGCUAAAUAUUGGCGAGAGACCGAUAGCGAACAAGUACCGUGAGGGAAAGAUGAAAAGCACUUUGGAAAGAGAGUGAAACAGUACGUGAAAUUGUUGAAAGGGAAACGCUUGAAGUCAGUCGCGUCGUCCGAGACUCAGCCUCGCCUCGGCUUGGUGUACUUCUCGGACGACGGGUCAGCAUCAAUUUUGCCCCUUGGAUAAUGGCGAGGGAAAUGUGACACCUUUGCGGGUGUGUUAUAGUCUCUAGUCGCAUGCAAGGGUCGGGAUUGAGGAACUCAGCACGCGCCUUCGGGCGUCGGGGUUCGCCCACGAUACGUGCUUAGGAUGUUGGCGUAAUGGCUUUAAACGACCCGUCUUGAAACACGG